rnacentral:lncRNA from 1 species
AAAUAUUUUUAUUCAGAUCCUAGUCCCCGCCUUGCCUGUACCGCUGUCGGCCAGUGGGGAGGGGGGAAGGACUCCUCCUGAGAGGGCAAAGAGAGAGAAGAUGGCAUCCGGGCAGCCUUGCAGCUCUUCCCCAGCUCCAGCCGGAGGGCUCCGCUGCCUGGCCCGGUGAAGCUGUGCCUCUCGGGGAGGGACUGUGGCAGCAGCAACCGCAGGGGAGGAGGAGCCAGAGCUGGCACAGAGCUGUUCCUGCUUUGGGCGAGCGGAUCAUCAUCAGGGCAUCUCCGCGCCGAGGCGCUAGCCGUGCUGGCGAGGCUGCACAGGGACCUGCUCUCUCCCGCUGACCCCUGCCAUUCCCCAGUGCACGCGGGAGCUGGAGUUGUUGAGAGGUGGACUCCUGUUCCUUGGAAGCAUGAACUUAUUUCAUGUCAAUGAAAACAUCACUUGUGCAAAGCUGGAUGGAGACUGUCAUCGUCUUUCUGGUCUUCUCCCACGCCCAGAAUCACAAAAUUUAAGUGCUAAUAUCCUGAGGAAAAAGUGAACAGGAGCAGGGAGAACUACGGGUAGGUUGCUGUCUAACCCAGAAUGCUGGUACGUACUGUUCUGGUCAGUAGCUUGGUGUUGGUGGAUUCCUGGCCUCAGUGAAAAGACUGCCCUGGCAAAAUCUUGAAUUGAUAAAAGUAUCAAUUAUUUCACUGAAGAACUUUGAGACCACAACUAUUUGGUUUCGCUAACAGUAAUUAAAAGAUAGAAGUAGAAAAGUAAUGGGAUUUGAAUAAGUUAAUAUUUUAAACUUGAAAGAGAGCGAAACUAUUGUAUUAGAGCACGUUGAAACGAUUUGCCUGUAACUCUGUAGUCUUUCUCUAUGCCUUAGCCUUCUCGCAAACCACUUUCAUAUCAGAACUCAAACAAAACCACCCAGAUGUUACAGUAAACCCUGUCUUUGUUCAUGGCGUCAAUCCCUCCUAGAUAUCAAAUAUAUCUUUAAAAACUGAAAGGUUGAUAAUCGUGAGAACUGGCUCUCUGACUUGAUUCCAGCAAUUUAAGAAGGAAUGAAUUUCUUGGCUCAAAAGUUCUGGCCCGACUUGAGUGGUGUUUUUUAUGGCCAGAAUAAUGUACUAGACUUCCAAAAAAAGCUGUUCAUUUCCAGAUUGCUGAGGUGCAGAGAGCUUUGCUGAAGCAUGGUUGAUGGAGAAUGUCUGCACACCUUUGAUAUGACAGAGAUGCACACUAGUAAGCCUUGUCUUCGGAUAUGUGUAUGCAACUCUUACUGAUGCAGACUUGUGAAAACACAGUAAAUAUUCUCUCACUCAGAGCUGAUAUAUCUCUUGUUAGCAUCACGUGACCAGAAGAGGACCUAUUUGAUUAAGGGACAAGUAUAAUGACAAUUACCCACUUGAACUUGGAGCUUUCUUUCCCACUGCCCACAAGGUUC